AACGAACGCUGGCGGCAGGCCUAACACAUGCAAGUCGAGCGAGACCUUCGGGUCUAGCGGCGGACGGGUGAGUAACGCGUGGGGACGUGCCCUUUGCUACGGAAUAGCCCCGGGAAACUGGGAGUAAUACCGUAUGUGCCCUUCGGGGGAAAGAUUUAUCGGCAAAGGAUCGGCCCGCGUUGGAUUAGGUAGUUGGUGGGGUAAUGGCCUACCAAGCCGACGAUCCAUAGCUGGUUUGAGAGGAUGAUCAGCCACACUGGGACUGAGACACGGCCCAGACUCCUACGGGAGGCAGCAGUGGGGAAUCUUAGACAAUGGGGGAAACCCUGAUCUAGCCAUGCCGCGUGAGCGAUGAAGGCCUUAGGGUUGUAAAGCUCUUUCAGGUGGGAAGAUAAUGACGGUACCACCAGAAGAAGCCCCGGCUAACUCCGUGCCAGCAGCCGCCGUAA
rnacentral:rRNA from 1 species